GGUGUGGCUCAACGGAGAGCAGCUGACUUAUAAUCAGCAGGUUGCAGGAUUAGCGUCCGUAUGAGUUCAAAUCUCAUAAACUCCUA
rnacentral:tRNA from 1 species